rnacentral:rRNA from 1 species
AAACCAGCACCUCAAGUGGUCAGGAUGAUUAUUGGGCCUAAAGCAUCCGUAGCCUGUUCUGUAAGUUUUCGGUUAAAUCUGUAUGCUCAACAUACAGGCUGCCGGGAAUACUGCAGAACUAGGGAGUGGGAGAGGUAGACGGUACUCGGGAGGAAGUGGUAAAAUGCUUUGAUCUCUCGAUGACCACCUGUGGCGAAGGCGGUCUACCAGAACACGUCCGACGGUGAGGGAUGAAAGCUGGGGGAGCAAACCGGAUUAGAAACCCCAGUAGUCC